AAGAAUGUAAGAAUAUUUUUUAAUAAUAUUGUAUGGCCCAUAUUAUAUGUGUUAACAUAGGUUGAUUCGCACACUAGCAUCUCCAAGUUCCCAUCUAAUGACAUGGCUCACCUCACCUGCUCUAGUCAAGUCCCACUAAUCAAGGGAGGAGCCAUGCCUGCUCCGGUCAAGUCCCACCAAUUAAGGAAUUGCACAUGAUCCACCAAUCAAGGUAGAAGCUAGAUCUUGCCCACUCUCCUACAUAAGCAGACCCCUCGAAUCAAGGAGGAGACCAUACCUCCUUGUUUGAUGGGAAGGGGUUGAGGGCGAUCAGAAGAAAGGGCCUGGCUACCAUCUUCUCCAGAGCUCUUAUUCUCUUCUCCGGAAAGCUCCCACUCCCCUCUCUAUGUAAUCUGCAUAUCUCCCUGUUUGGGGGUGGUCAAAAUUCACCCAAUUUGCCAAGGAAGAAUUCCUAGCAGCCGAAGAAUUCCUAACGGCUAAGAAUUCUUAACGGUCGAAGAAUUUCUUGCGGUGUAGAAUUUCUAGCGGCCUAAUUCCUAACGGUCGAAGAAUUGCUAGCGGCCGAGAAUUCCUAGCGGCUAAAGAAUUCCUAGCAACUGAGAAUUCCUAACGGCAGAAUUCCUAACGGCCGAAGAAUUCUUAGUUGCCGAGAAUUCCUAGUGGCGCAAUUCCUAGCGGCCGAGAAUUCCUAAAGGCUGAGAAUUCCUAGUGGUUGAAGAAUUCCUAGCCGUCGAGGUGCUUUCUCAAAAAGGCGGUCGAGGUCUUUUCUUCAAAGGCCGUGGUGCCUUCUGAAAAAUGCGACCGAGGUGUUUUCUUCAAAGGCCAUGGCGCCUUCUCAAAAAUGCGGCAAAUGUGUUUUCUUCAAAGGCCGUGGUGCCUUCUAAAAAUUAUGGUUGGGCGCUCCCUUUUGAAAAAAUGACCGAGCGCUUCCGUUUGCAAAGGUGGUCGGGCGUAUCCUUGCAAAAGUGGUUGUGCGUAUCCCUGUAAAAUUGACCGAAUGCUUCCUUUUGAAAAAGUGGCCGGGCAUUUCUCAAAAAGUUGGGCUGGGCACUCUUUAAAUACCUUGGUUGGCCACCCCUCAUACAAAAACUGGGUCAGGGCGAAUUUUCUCCUUGCGCACCUUGGUGCCCUCCUCGGAACACUUGGCUAAGCAAAGUUGGCCCGAAGGAAUUGAAGUUCGGCGGAAGGUAUUUUCGCCAAGGGAGUUGAAGUUCGGUGAGAGGUAUGUCCGCUGAGUUCCCAAUAUUCGAAUAUUUUGAGAACUCAAAGAUAGUCCAACGUGGGGCUAAGCCCAACAUCCAAAUAAUUGGAGUUCCCAUAGCACCCAUCUUGGCAGAUGGUUAGCCAACUCUAGAAUUUUAAAAACUCAAAGGGCACGAGGUUCCACCAGAGGUUAGUGUGCACAUGAUGGAGGCUUGACAAGGAAAGAAAUCAAAGGAGGUUGAUGACGAUUCAAAAUAUUUCAAAACGAGAGAAACUCAAGCAACCAUAAUAUCUCCGCCGACAAGAUCAAUGGAUUUUGGGGGCUUCAAAAGGAAAGAGUUUUAAAAGAGUUGACAUUUGGUCAUUCAAUGGCCAACCCAUUGGCUAACGGAUGCCUUACAUAAACUUCACUGAACGAAGGCAGAAGACACACAAACUUCUUUUUCGUCUCGCACUUUUCUUUUCUUAGACUUAGGAUUUUACUUUUCAAGCACCUAGUGUUGCCAGUUCUUUAUUUCCUUAGUGUAAGUUAAAAUUCUUGCAAUUUACAUUCCCUUGUCAUUUAAAUUCAAGUUUAUUUCAAUCGCUUAACUUUCAUUGCCAUCGCACUUUUAUUAAGUUUAAAUUCAAGUUUAAUUUAGUUUAUCGCUCUUAUUUCUUUCUUGUUUAUUUAUCAC
rnacentral:lncRNA from 1 species